UUGAUGAGCAUGCAGCUCCAGAGACAAAAGCAGCCUGAAACUGAGACUUUUGGACCCCGAAUAAGUUUUACCUAAUGACGGACCAGACAAGCCCACAUUGGAAUGCAAAGUGGAGUAAAUAAUAGAUUACUCACUAGCUGGAUUUAUGUUUGCAUUUCCAUGCCACCUGAGUCCAAUGGUCCAUCACUAAGCAGGAUCCAGAAAGCUCAUAACCCUUUAUGGAAUCUACUUCCAGGGAUAAAAUGACAACCUGAUGGUACAAAAAUGUCAAGCCCCUCUUCCCACGGUUCAGAGAAUAAGCAGGGCCAUAUUAUCCCAUGGCUGGACCCCUGUGCAUCAGGUAUUUUGGGCCCUCUCUGGCACUUCAAUCUUUCACCCCUCUACCGCUGUCAUUUGGGAUGCAAAGCUUACAGUAUGCCGUCAUUUACACUUUCAGCAUUCACACAGACACCGAU